UACAGAACCUUUGAGAUGGCAGGUUAGAGGUGAUACAGAACCUUUGAUAUGGCAGGUUAGAGGUGAUACAGAACCUUUGAGAUGGCAGGUUAGAGGUGAAACAGAACCUUUGAUAUGGCAGGUUAGAGGUGAUACAGAACCUUUGAGAUGGCAGGUUAGAGGUGAUACAGAACCUUUGAGAUGGCAGGUUAGAGGUGAUACAGAACCUUUGAGAUGGCAGGUUAGAGGUGAUACAGAACCUUUGAGAUGGCAGGUUAGAGGUGAUACAGAACCUUUGAGAUGGCAGGUUAGAGGUGAUACAGAACCUUUGAGAUGGCAGGUUAGAGGUGAUACAGAACCUUUGAGAUGGCAGGUUAGAGGUGAUACAGAACCUUUGAGAUGGCAGGUUAGAGGUGAUACAGAACCUUUGAGAUGGCAGGUUAGAGGUGAUACAGAACCUUUGAGAUGGCAGGUUAGUGGAGUGAUA